rnacentral:lncRNA from 1 species
GCUGGGCCCGGGCGGAGCCGAGGGCGGGGGAGGAGGGCGGAGCGGGGUGGGAGGCGCGGCGGCCGAGGGGCUGCAGAAAAGUUGCGGGGAUCGGAGCGACAGCAGCCGCGGAGCCGCGGGAGUGGGGAGCGCGCGGCGGGUGCAGAGCGGGCAGAGCGGGCGGCGCGCACCCGGGGCGGCAGGGAGCCCCAGACCCGUCUCCCGGGGAUGCGUGGGGCCCCGAGCCAGGUGCUGGCGCGCGGCCGGGCACAGCCUCCAGAUUUGGCUUGCAGAGCAGCGUGCCCCCCUUGAAGGGAAAUGCGGUUUGCAGCAGCCCUUGCCGGCCAAGAGUGGCCACGUGACAUGGAGCUGCCCUGUGGGAUGCGAGGGAUGGCCUGGGUCCGGGGCCCUAGAGGGCUGUGCAGGGCCUUCGGAGCGCGGAGUGGCCUGUGCGCUGUGCAGCUGACCAUAAGCACCUUUGAGUUCAUGGCGUUGGAAAGAAAGUGACAGUUUCGCUUCAAAGGGAAAAGGUGACCAAGCCAUCUGAUGCCGAUUUCGAGAUCUAUAUCCAGUCCAGCUAUCAGAAGAGACUCUAAGUCUGCCACCUUGUUUAUGCUGUACUACAGCUGCAGAUCUCUGUCUGCUGCGGAACACGUUCAGAACUCAAGUGAAAAAUACCUGGGAAAGAGCCUGUACUUCUGUAGCUUGCUUUCAACAACGCGAAAUAGAAAUGCCUGAUUCACAGUGGCUUUGACAACAGGGCCUGUUGUCUCUUACUGUGGGAAGCCAGAGGGAGGCAGUUCCAAGGCUGGUGAAUUCUGCAGCAGAACAAUAACACCUGGAGGCUUUCCUUGGCCUUUGCAUUCAAGCACACCAUGAUUCCCUCAUGGCCUCAGUGUGGCUGCACAGCCUCUGGACAUCACCAGCACACACAGCUCUAUCAGCAAGAGGGGACAUGGUUCUCAUGUGUCUCGUUUUAACCAUGGAAGAAAAUAUUUCCCGCAGUAUGAAAAUCACCCUAUAAAACCCCAUAAUUCUCUUUGUUAUCUUAUUUCAUAGUUUGUUGCCAGGGCAAUAAUGUUGUGAUCGACAUCUCUGUACUCCCACACAGAAUAAAUCCUUAUCAAAUAAAAUUUUAUUUUAUUUU